GAAACGUCUUCCCUCGCCGCCGCUCGAGCUGACAGGCUCCGGCUCCCGGCAGGCAGCUGUGAACACAGGCCAACCUCCGCCAGGAUGCCCCGCGUCGGGGGCCCAGAGCCCCGGGGCAACAGAGAAGGCGGUAAUCCCAGCCCUCCUCCCUCCUCAGGUUUACGGUGCCCCAGGAAGACGACGCCUCUGCAUCCAUCUCAAAGGGCCCCCCGCCCUCUGGCUUCCAGGUGUCAAGAACUCAGAGGGCAGGAGGAGAAAUGAGAUCCUGUCCCAGAAUCCUGUGCGCUCCUACUACGGUCGUCCUGGCUUCUGCUCUGGGUCUGCUGCUCAGCGAUGCCCCCGCGAUCUCCCCUCAGCAUCCGAGUGAGAAUUCUCCUGGCCCUUCUCCAAUAUGUGGGAUCACCAGUUUUCUGAAUCCCAUGCUUUCCAGGUUCAUCGUUUCUUCAACAGACAUGCCAAAAGCCCUGUUUUCAGCCCAUCUGUACCUUCUGCAGGACCUGGUGCCCCCAUUUCCUCAGCCUUUCUUGGGUUCUACUGCUCGAAUCAGCUUGCUUCCUGAAGCUUCUAUCCCCACAGGCUUUUAGCCUUCAAAGUUCUCCAGUCGGCUAAGUCAGUUACCUCUUGUCCAUUUGCUUUCCGGCUUGGCUUCAAAAAUGUUGAUGACAUCCUUCAAUAGUUGUAUUUUCCUCUCAUUUUUUUAUCUUUAUGGAUUUAAAUCCUUCUUUAAAAAUCCCAUUACUGUUAUUUUAGUGAGGGCUUUGGGAGAUACAGUGGAGGUAUGUGUGUGUGCUCAAUCAUUCCAUGGCUAAUUGGAAGUCAU